rnacentral:tRNA from 1 species
GCAGAUAUAGUUCAGUGGUAGAACACGACCUUGCCAAGGUCGUUAUGUGAGUUCGAUUCUCAUUAUCUGCUCCA